GACGAACGCUGGCGGCGUGCCUAAUACAUGCAAGUAGAACGCACAGUUUAUACCGUAGCUUGCUACACCAUAGACUGUGAGUUGCGAACGGGUGAGUAACGCGUAGGUAACCUGCCUGGUAGCGGGGGAUAACUAUUGGAAACGAUAGCUAAUACCGCAUAAUAUUGAUUAUUGCAUGAUAAUUGAUUGAAAGAUGCUAUUGCAUCACUACCAGAUGGACCUGCGUUGUAUUAGCUAGUAGGUGAGGUAACGGCUCACCUAGGCGACGAUACAUAGCCGACCUGGGAGGGUGAUCGGCCACACUGGGACUGGGACACGGCCCAGACUCCUACGGGAGGCAGCAGUAGGGAAUCUUCGGCAAUGGACGAAAGUCUGACCGAGCAACGCCGCGUGAGUGAAGAAGGUUUUCGGAUCGUAAAGCUCUGUUGUAAGAGAAGAACGGGUGUGAGAGUGGAAAGUUCACACUGUGACGGUAGCUUACCAGAAAGGGACGGCUAACUACGUG
rnacentral:rRNA from 1 species